rnacentral:rRNA from 1 species
AGGACGAACGCUGGCGGCGCGCCUAACGACGAUGCAAGUCGAGCGAGAACCAGGGCUUGCCCUGGGGACAGCGGCGAACGGGUGCGUAACACGUGAGCAACCUGCCCCAAAGACCGGGACAACCCGAGGAAACUCGGACUAAUACCGGAUGCCCUCACCGGGCCGCAUGGUCUGGUGAGGAAAUGGAUUCCGCUUUGGGAUGGGCUCGCGGUCUAUCAGCUUGUUGGUGGGGUAACGGCCUACCAAGGCGACGACGGAUAGCUGGUCUGAGAGGACGAUCAGCCACACUGGGACUGAGACACGGCCCAGACUCCUACGGGAGGCAGCAGUGGGGAAUCGUUGCGCAAUGGGGGAAACUCUGACGCAGCGACGCCGCGUGCGGGAUGAAGGCCUUCGGGUUGUAAACCGCUUUCAGCAGGGACGAAUUGACGGUACCUGCAGAAGAAGGCCCGGCAACUACGUGCCAGCAGCCGC